GAUCACGCCACUGCACUCUAGCCUGAGCAACAGAGUGAGGCCUCAUGUCAAAAAAAUAUGUAUAUUGCUAACAUACAAUUUCUCAUUGUUAUUUACCCUUCAUUUGACAUUGUAUUCUAUAGUCUCAACUUCAUCUUUACAGCAUUCAUUCAAGAAAGGAAAUGGGGAUUGCAUGAGGAAAAAGAGAGCAAAGGAAAAAAUUUCAAUAAAGGAAAUCGUGUUCCCUUUCCCCCACCUCCAAAACAAAAAUUCUCCUUUGCUGGAAAGUGGACCUAAAAGUGUUUUUGCUUUUCAAAACAGUUUUCUAAACACACACACACACGCGCGCGCACACACACACACACACAAACACAGUAUUUCAUGGCCUGUGCACCACUUCUUGCCUGCUGGCUCAAGGUCUAGCUUGUUUUUCCACCCCACAGUGUCAGGCAGGUCCAGCCCUCCUUUAUGUCCUAGAGUUCGUGUUGGUGCCAGGCAGCUUCAGAUUCUGUGCCCCGUUUGAAAUCAUUCGCAAGAUCUGAAUUGUUAAAGAAAAUAUGCUGGCUUCUGAGUAAUGCUAACCACUGGAAAAUAUUAGAAAACAUUUCAAAAUAAGAGAGUCCUUGGAUCUGUUAUUUAUUUUUUAUUGGAAUUGAAUUAAAUUACUGGUCAGCAUCACAAAAGUAAAAACCUCUGUCAUUCACCAUUAUCUUUUCCCCCUUUAAGAAUCAAAAGGAAGCCCCACGGCUGGGGGAAAAAUCUUCCAGCUAAGUGAACCUCACUGUUUGUUCUACCUGGGCCUGACCUGCACAGUAACCAGAAGCUUCCUGGGCCUAGCAGUUUCAACCAAGUAUUUCAGGAACCUGUGCUCACCCUUGGCAAUAACAAGCCUCGGGUGAUUUCAGCUGUCAAGUGUCUCUGAUCCUCAGAUUCUUACAAGGGAGCUUUGCAAAGCUUGUAGUCUCUCCUUCCUAAUUUAAUUUAAACUGCACUUGUGAUAAAGAGGUAAGUGCGCGGCUUCUCCCUAAUGCUACCACGAAUUUCUGUAUGACACAGAUCCUCCUUGGGGCUGAGAGUGAAGUGCUGGGAGUCUAAAAAGAACCGUGUCCAUCCCCUGUGUCCCAUGGUGUCUCCAGGGAGCUGCCAUCCUCCCAGCCCCCUCCCACCUGUCUCUUUUCUCCUCAGCCAGCCCCCAGCGUGGAGGUGCCCACUGCUCCCACAGUGUCUCUGCCAGACUCUUCCAGGGCCCACUGCAGAGCCAGGCACAGCUUCCCCAAUCUCUCCUCAUCCCUGCUGCCUCCAAAACAAACACACAUUAGAAAAAGGACAAAGGAGUUUUGGUUCUAGAAAGGUCAAAGAGUUUUAAAAAUUACCGACAUUGGGAAAAUUACAAGGUUGCUAAAGAAUCUGAAAAAACUACCAGCAGCGGUUCCCAGAGCCUGACCUCAUUUAUGUUUCAAUGGAGACCGGGGUCAACUGCUCUGAAUAUUUCCCAAGCAUUCUUAUUAAUCUUUUGUGGAGCUAGAGGUUGGUCUUGUGGGCACCUUCGCUGUUACCAAGCUGUGCCUAGCUCUUGGGUCCAGGCCCAAUCCCUGACCCUUUAAUGAAGAACACACUUCUCCUUCUCCCCUACAAAGGCCUCUCCCUUGGGCUUUAGGCUACUUGUUUUGACCUUCAGUUUGCCACCAGGGUCCAUCAUGGAGGGCUCUUGGUUGAAGUCUUAGGAAUCUGCCCUCCUACCCCUCCCCCACAAAGACAUCCCCUCCGGGCCAUUGUUCCUUUGCAGUUGUCUUCCGUGUUCCUCCCAGAGGCUGUGUGCCUCUGGCAUACAGCACCAUGCGGGUCUCUCUCAUUGAAUUAAAACUGGCCCAGUGAGGCAAUACAACACAAUGAGGAAAAGGUGUGUCUCGACGGGGUACCAUCCGGCAGGCAGCUUGAGCUCAGCGGUCCUCAGUCUUCUCAGCUGCAAAAUGGGGUUGCCAAUUGUGAAAGGGAAAUUAAAAAUUGGGAUCACAAUUUACUCUGCCAAAAGAAAAAUUAAGCCGAAAGCUGAAUCAUGCAAGAUGCGGCCUUUCCUUUUGUUCCUAAGCAGAGAUCUACAGAUAAAAGCUUCAACCUCUCCACAGGUAAAUUCUCCGUGUUCACCUUAUGUUACAUGAAUUGCCAAUUUACUGAGCACGAUUUACUGAGUAGAGAGGAAUACGUAACGACGAUUGCCCUACCUGCCCCUUUUCUCUUUUCCGCUUUAAAUAUUGAAGCCCUCAAAAUUCGUGAUUGGAGAAAGGCACAGACCACAGAUUGUUUCUGUGAUUCCAUGUUAAUUGCUUCUGGGCACGUCCUUAACCUUGAGAAAAUCAACUUCUAAAUUGAUUGAGACCUGUCUCCAAAAUUUUUUGGUUUACAUAAUCCCACUUUAUCAUGCUACCGUGAGGAUGACAUUGGGCAAUCAUAAGCCCCUGACCUGUACCUGGAAUAUGGUGAUUGCUCAAUAAACACUGGUUCUGAUUAUAAUUUUUAUUAAUGUCUUUUUUAAAAUCAAUUUGCUCACUGAUUUUUAUUCUUUCUUUACUUAAAAAAAAAAAAUAGACCACCUUUAGACUGCCUCCUUUCGUCAAGCACAAUGUGAGGCAUUGGGGGUACAACGGGAAGUAACUGUCUCUGCCUUCCAGGAAUUCUGCAGAGUGGUAAAGAGGACAAAUACCAACAAUUACAGAGCAAUGAGCUAGGUCUUGCAAUGGGAAUAUCCUCGGUCUCCUGUGGGAAUGUUGGAUGAGAAGCAACUAACUCUGCCUGAGGACUAGAACAGGGAGAGGCUGUGCAGAGAAGACCUCCUAGAGGAGCUGACGAGAGUCAGACUGAACAAGACCAGAAGGGAAUUGCCACAGCCGGAAGGAGGAAGGAAGGUCCUGCCUGGGGAAACCGAGGUACAGUCAGCAGGGAUGGCUGGUCCUGCCCUCCAUGGCCCUGGGCUGGUACAACAGUUGUUCUCAUUUAAUCUGUGGAUCCAGUCUCCUUAGUAACCAUGCAGACUCAGUAGAGAACAACGUUCUGGAGCCUGCUUCUGUGAACAUCCAUCUCUCAGUUUCAAAGCGCUACCUCCAGACGAGCCUUCCUUCGCAGCACGGUGUUUCACCUGAGGAACAUAUUAAUAAUAUGACUCGCACUGUUUGAGCGCUUUCCAUGUGCUCUGCACGAUCUGGGCCUUUCAAACAUCAUCUCAUGCAGUCCUCUCCAAAGCUACCCUGUGUGGUCAUCUCGUCUCGUGUCAAAUCCCGGCUCCAAACAGUUUCUACGCUGGCCCUUGGGCAAGUAACCUCACUUUGCCUCUGUUUCUUCCUCUUCCAAAGGGGAUGCCCAGCCCACCUCACAGGUUGACAAGGCGGCGAUAGGAGUUAAUGUAAGCAGAGCCCUUAGAACAGUCACCAGCACAUGGCUCUGAGUUCAUUAUUCCAGUGAAACCAUACUAAGGAAAAAAGACUUUUUACCCUCCUCUCAUCUGUUGAACUUUGGCUUCCUUCACUCUCCCUUGCUCUGCACACCCCAGCUCCUCCGAAAUCAAAUGUCAGGAGACUAACCCCGUGAAGAGUCUCUAAGAAUGGAGUUCUCAUCAAUAUUGUUCAUGUUGCGGGGAGGGGUGGACUGGGAGUUCCUGUUUAAAGUAUUCAGAAUUUCUGCUGGGGAUAAUGACAAAGUUCUGGAAAUCGUUGGUGAUUACACAACAUUGUGUAUGUGGCUAAUGCCAAUGAAUUGUACAUUUUAAAAUGGUUACAUGGUAAUUUUAAAAUAUAUUUUAUCACAAUGAAAAAAUCUU